rnacentral:rRNA from 1 species
GAUGAACGCUGGCGGCGUGCCUAAUACAUGCAAGUCGAGCGAACAGAUGAGGAGCUUGCUCCUCUGACGUUAGCGGCGGACGGGUGAGUAACACGUGGAUAACCUACCUAUAAGACUGGGAUAACUUCGGGAAACCGGAGCUAAUACCGGAUAAUAUAUUGAACCGCAUGGUUCAAUAGUGAAAGACGGUUUUGCUGUCACUUAUAGAUGGAUCCGCGCCGCAUUAGCUAGUUGGUAAGGUAACGGCUUACCAAGGCAACGAUGCGUAGCCGACCUGAGAGGGUGAUCGGCCACACUGGAACUGGGACACGGUCCAGACUCCAACGGGAGGCAGCAGUAGGGAAUCUUCCGCAAUGGGCGAAAGCCUGACGGAGCAACGCCGCGUGAGUGAUGAAGGUCUUCGGAUCGUAAAACUCUGUUAUUAGGGAAAAACAAAUGUGUAAGUAACUAUGCACGUCUUGACGGUACCUAAUCAGAAAGCCACGGCUAACUACGU